rnacentral:ncRNA from 1 species
GAUAACUGGCUUGUGGCUGCCAAGCGCUCCUAGCGACGUAGCUUUUUGAUCCUUCGAUGUCGGCUCUUCCUAUCAUUGGGACGCAGAAGUCUCAAAGUGUCGGAUUGUUCACCCGCUAAUAGGGAACGUGAGCUGGGUUUAGACCGUCGUGAGACAGGUU